UUAAAGAUGAUUUAUAAAGGAUGUGUACAGGUUAGAUUUCGAGGGGACUGUUUUCUGUUUAAGAAGUAACUCAUUUUGCCGGGUGCGGUGGCUCAUGCCUGUACUUUGGGAGGCUGAGGUGGGCUGGUCUCCAACUCCUGGGCUUAAGUGAUCUUCCCUCUGUGGUGGCCUCCCAAAAUGUUGGGAUAACAGGCGUGAACCACUGUGCCUGGCUGGGUUUUCAUACAUGCAAGUUUACACAUGUAUUUUAUCUUACAUGAUAGACUGACAUUCACUUAGACAACUCUAGAAGCUAAAUUUGUAAUCUGUUCAGAUAGGUGUUGGCAGCUAGUAACAACUAUCCCAUAGAGUUAUCCCAUAGGCAUCAAUAUUUUAACCAAAAUCUGGAUUGGAGAAACUUAGUCAUUAUGGGGCCUAUCUGUUAGCAAAAUCGAAUAGUCAGAUAUGCUUUGACCUUAGGUUCCUUUAGCCAAACCUUUUUUGUUUUUCCCAG
rnacentral:lncRNA from 10 species